AUGGCACCGCAGCCGCCGCGCCUGAUGCUGGCGGCUUCUGCUGGAAGCUCGGGCCCUGAGCCCCGCGUGGGCGGCCCGGCGGCGUCCCCAGCUCGCCCGGACCGGCGCAGCAACCGAGUCGCCCCUCGGGCGUAGCCGGAUCCCUUGCUCGCGUCCACGUCGACGGGGGCGGGUCACGGCUUGGAGACUUUUUCAGUUCCUGGGGACCGAGUUGAUCGUCCCGGCAAGGUCUAAACUCGGCAGAAACGUGCGUGUGCGCUCCCUCACGCGCCCUUGAGGCCGUGCUUCUUUUACGCAAAUGUUUUUUCCUGAAAGACUUUUUUUUUUUUUUUUUUUUUUUAAGUCUAAGAAAGAGUAUAUGCAGAAAACGGGUCAAAACAGAACAGCAGUAUCAUUUACAUGGUGGAGAGGAGAUUAAUGCUGAAAGCUAAGCCAAGUAUCUGAAAACAACAUUCUCCUGUUUAGCUAGUAUUGAAAGAGAAAACCAACCUUCGCUACUAUGUACACUUGAUAAAUUUUUCACUUCAGUGAAUCGACUUCAGAUUUGCUGGUUUAAAUGUGUUGAUCGUUUGAAACAACAGUGAAUGCUAUCAUUAAAUUAGCCCCUGUUAAUGUUUUCUAUUUGGUAA
rnacentral:lncRNA from 1 species